rnacentral:pre_miRNA from 1 species
UUAACUAAAUCUGUAUGGAGUUGGAACGUAUGCCUACGUUUGCCGCUAGGGGCGCUGUUUCAACUGCAUACAUACAAAUUUGACUUA